rnacentral:rRNA from 1 species
GGUUCGACUAAGCCAUGCGAGUCGAAUGUAGCAAUACAUGGCGUACUGCUCAGUAACACGUGGACAACCUACCCUUUGGACGGGGAUAAACCCGGGAAACUGGGUAUAAUACCCGAUAGAUCUCAUUGGCUGGAAUGCCUUGAGCUCGAAAGCUCCGGCGCCAAAGGAUGGGUCUGCGGCCUAUCAGGUAGUAGUGGGUGUAGUGUACCUACUAGCCUACGACGGGUACGGGUUGUGAGAGCAAGAGCCCGGAGAUGGAUUCUG